rnacentral:misc_RNA from 1 species
AAACCAAAUCCAGCUUGCUGGGUCUUGGGCUUUCGCCUCUGGGCGGGCCUCAAAAUCAGUGGCGGUGCUGCCAGGCUCUAAGCGUAGUAAUUCUUCUCGCUACAGGGUCCUGGUGGAGGCUUGCCAAUAACCCCAAAUAUUUUAAA